UAAUAUCAGUUUAUUCAUAAUUCUAAAGUAAUUACUUCAGGCAGAGAAAAUGGGAUAGAGAAACUUAUGACAAUAGUCAAAUUGAGUAGUUUGUGUAUCAUGUUUCUUUUGCUACUGCAGGGGUUUGCGACCUUUGACUAAAGAAUGUUAUGCUGCCAAGCUUUUCUCAAAGCAUAUGAAGGUUGAGAAUCAGGUAGUGAUAUCUUUUCUCAAAUCUUUUACUAGGUCUGAGUACUGGAAUCUAUAAUAUAAGGUGAGGAGGUCUUUCAAAGCGUUGCGUUGUUCAUAAAGUAACGUAAGGGUUCUUAUGUUUCGGAUUUACAGUUUUAUUUUGACUCACAUAUUUUUCUAAUUUUUAUAUUUUAAAUAUUUUCAGGUAUACAUUAAAGGAUACUUGGUGUAAGCUAACAGGUCUUAUGCACAAAAUGUUGUUUCUCUAUUUUCUGCAUGUUUGUAUAUUUUUGGUUCCAUCUUCUGUAAAGUUAACUAAUUAUACAUGGUUAUGAUAAUUUUUUGGUAUGGAAUGAUUUUUUUUUUGGUGGUUUGUAUAUGUAUUGAUGAUUGUAAGUUUUGUAGACAGGUUUAAAAUUCUUUGGAGUUCUAUUUUUAAAGGAAACUCUGCCGAAAUUUCUUGAAAUUAGUACCGACUAGCUUGAUGUUUUGGUGGUUGGAUAUAUGUUUAUGAUCGAGUAUUAACUCUCAUUUCAAUUUUUUUUUCAUAAUUUAUUUUUAAUUUUUUGAGAAUUAUACAGUGCCUUGAGGAACGAGUUAUCGCUACCAAAUAGCUCGAUGGUUGAGUUUGUAUUAAUUGUUACGUCGUGCCUUCAGGCACGGGUUAUAGUUGGCUUGAUGUUUUGAUGGUUAGAUAUGUGUUGAUGAUUGUUUGUAUUUUGUGUGUUUCGUAUUUUGUAAAAUUAACUAAUUAUACAUGGUUAUGAUGAUUUUGGGUAUGGAAUGAUGGUUUUUUUAGUGGUUU
rnacentral:lncRNA from 1 species